rnacentral:rRNA from 1 species
CUUGAACGCUGGCGGCAGGCCUAACACAUGCAAGUCGAGCGAGCGGCGGACGGGUGAGUAAUGUAUGGGGACUGCCCGAUAGAGGGGGAUAACUCCUGGAAAAGGUUGCUAAUACCGCAUACUAUCGGAUAACCCAUAUGGGAUUAGCUAGUCGGUGGGGUAACGGCUCACCUAGGUGACGAUCUCUAGCUGUUCUGAGAGGAUGAUCAGCCACACUGGGACUGAGAAACGGCCCAGACUCCUACGGAGGCAGCAGUGGGGAAUAUUGCACAAUGGGCGAAAGCCUGAUGCAGCCAUGCCGCGUGUAUGAAGAAGGCCUUAGGGUUGUAAAGUACUGUCAGCGGGGAGGCGUUACCAGAAGAAGAAGCACCGGCUAACUCCGUGCCAGCCGCCGCGGUAAUUC